rnacentral:snoRNA from 1 species
AUUGUUGUGAUUAGCCUUAUCAUAUAAGAAAAUCCAUUCACAUGUCUGAGUCAUCAAUCAAAUACACUUGUUACUCUUUCUUGAAUAGA